ensembl:lincRNA Lockd lncRNA downstream of Cdkn1b
GCAAGUGCCGUUGACAGAAUGCAGGCGGGAAGCUUCAGUUUGGGUAGAGAUGUAGCAUCAAACAUUCACGGAUGUCCAGGGAGCACGGGCACACAGGCUGCUGGCCAGAGGUACUAGGAAGGUACAGGCGGGAGUUCGACGAGGACGCACCUUCCCCUGUCUUGGAAAGGAGGCUGCUCACAGCGCUGCUGGACUCUUUAAGCCCUGAGGUCAUGUGAAAAGAAGUUUGCCCUGUGUCCUUCUGUCUCCUGUUGGCUGUCCACAAAAUGGAGAAGGCGGAAGCAACCUGAGGCGUCCUCUUUGUCUGUAAAGAUAGAGAGUCCAUUGUGGAAGGGGGAGAUACAGGAACUAUAUAGGCGAGGCUCUACCGGACUGCAUCUCUUAUCUCCAGAAUUCUUUUACAGAAAAGAAAAAAAUAAACUUUUAUCUGGCUUAAGCCACUACUGUUUCUGGGCUCUGUUACUAGCUGCCAAAUGCAAAUCUUAACUGAUAGAAAAGUCCUUGACGGAGUUUGAGCUGGUGAAUGGAUGCUGCCUGUUCAGUGGCUCUGCAGUGGUGGAUCUGUGGGAGUGGAGCAUCCUGGAGGGUAUCAGGAGAUAAAGAUGGCUUGGCAGAUGGGGGCAGACAGUGAGAAUACACCUCACAAGGUGUCACGGACUUUCUUUUCCCCCAGGACACCUCUGCUGAAGUACUGUUAUACAGUGGCUCUUUAAACGUCUAUUGAUGGAGUAAUUUGAAGUCCGCUCCUGUCAGCUGGCCUCAAAGCUGGGCUAUUUAGAAGAUGCGUACUCUUUGUGCCUAAAAAAAAGAGCAGCAGGUAAAGAAUGGAGCGGGAAGGGGUAUCAGCAUUACAGGAAAGUCAAGUGACUCCCUGCAGGCGUCUCCAAGGAAAGGACUUUGUUACACGUGAUUGUCUAAUGAAAAUACAUCAAAGUCUAAUGAAGAUAUCCUUUACUGAGUAGCAACUGUAAAUAAUGUCCCAGAUGUACAUCCUUCUGUAGCUUAUAGCAUGAAUUCAUAUACUACCUAUUUCUAAUUUAUUAUUUUCAUAAUAACUUCAUCAUCGUAAGAUUAGGCAAGACUGUUCCAUUUUACGUUAGAAGGACAUUUACUGUUUAUAUGGAUUAUAAAAAUAUGAACAGACUCCGGUUCUAGCUCAUUCUGUAAUCCAAGUACUUGUGAGCCAGAGGCAGAAAGACAGUUGUGAGUUUAAGGUCAGGUGACUGUGGGUGACAUAGUCCAGGGACCAGGGGGCUGCAGGGUUAGACCUUCCUCUCAAAAAAAAAAAAAAAAAAAAAAAAAAAAAAACCAUAAAAAAGUUCAGUUACACAGCACAACUACUAAAGCAACAUAAAAGAGAGUAGCUUGGCCCCAUGUAACGAAGGAUUUUACCAUCUUUUUCUAUUGUGUAAGAAACUGUAAGUCCAGAGCCAGGGAGACAGCUCAUCAGGCAAAACUGCUUGCCACAAACCUGACAGCCUGGGUGUGAUCCCUGGAACUGACCCCUGAGAAGGGUCCUCUGCCUUCCUCACUUGUACCUUGGCACCCACAUGUCAUUCACACAUCACACAUCACACACACACACACACCAAUAAAUAAUAAUAGUAAAUUCAAUCUUAAUUCCAGAGCAUAGAUCUCUUGUGAACUAAAUGUAUUAACUUACUAUUUCCUUCCUUCCUUCCUUCCUUCCUUCCUUCCUUCCUUCCUUCCUUCCUUCCUUCCUUUCUUUUUUUGUUUUUUCGAGACAGGGUUUCUCUGUAUAGCCCUGGAUAUCCUGGAAUUCACUUUGUAGACCAGGCUGGCCUCGAACUCAGAAAUCCGCCUGCCUCUGCCUCCCGAGUGCUGGGAUUAAAGGUGUGCGCCACCAUGCCCGACACUAUUCCAUUUCUUUUUUUCUUUCUUAAAACUUAGUUGGGGGCUGGAGAGAUAGCUCAGCAGUUAGAGCACUGGUUGCUCUUCCAGAGGACCUACAUUCCACUCCCAGCACCCACAUGGCAGAUCAUAGCCAUCUAUAUAACUCCAGUUCUAACCCUGGGCACCAGACGUGAGCAUGGUACACAGAUAUGCAUGUAGAAAAAAAACCCAUAUGCAUAAGAUAAAUGAAGCUUUUAAAAGUAUAUGUUGGGACUCUAAGGUUCCUUUCAAACUUGGCAUGGAUAAAUAAUCAGAAGCCUCACAAGUCACCUUCAUAUCUCAACUCCAUUAAAGCUGUGGCCUUCAGCCUUUCUCUCCACCUCGGGGAGGACAGAUGUUACCUGAAAUAUCUUUUUUNNNNNNNNNNNNNNNNNNNNNNNNNNNNNNNNNNNNCUGCCUCUGCCUCCCGAGUGCUGGGAUUAAAGGCGUGCGCCACCACUGCCCGGCCUGAAAUAUUUUUUUAAUUAAUUAUGUCUCCUUGUCCUUUGCCUUGAUUUUGUCAAAAUAACGUGUAAGAAUUCAACCACUACUGACUAUUCAGGUACAGAUCUCUACACUUUUGCCAAAGGAUUGUUUGGGUAAUUUUAAUUCUUUCUUAUUUCUCAUGUGUGUGUGUGGGGNGUGUAUGUGUGUGUGUGGUUGUUGCUUGUUUUUGUUUCUCUCUUUCUUUUUCCUUUUUAAAAAUGCAGUCUUGCUAUGUAGUGCCUGUUAGCCUGCUACUUACUAUGCAGCCCAUAACUCUUGGCGAUCCUCCUGCAUCAGCAAGUUUCACAGUCUUAGGUCACCAUGCCCAGCUUCAACUAUUAGGGUUUGACUGGUACUUCUCUGAAGUUCCUGGGUUGCAUUUUGUAAGAUCUGCACUGAGGAGAAAGACGCUGAAGCCUGCCAUCUGCCGCACAGACUUUGUUUUCUCCGGUUAAACGGUAACGAUGCUGCUAUGUGUGGGGCACCGUGUGCCAGCAGCUGAGUGGCUGGCUCGUAUUCUAACCCCAAUGAAGACUCUGGGAAGCAGCUGUAUUGGUGAAGAAACCGUUUCGGAGCUGUGGCUCAAGGCUGCAGAGAGCAGCUGAGCAAGGGCAGUUUAAGGUCUUGCUGACUCCUGUGUGGCUCAGAGGGUGACCUGUCAUUCUUAUAAAUAAUCUGGAGGAGAACAAGGCCAACUGUCUCCGUGCGACACUUGAUCCCACAUUUAUCCUUUCAGGCUGCCAAACUGAAAGACCUUAUGGUGAUUAAAUAUUUCUGGCCAGCAAUGCCCUGCCACUUUAUUGAAAAACGAUAGCCUGAUAUCUUCUAUAAUUUUUUUUUUUUUCUGUUGAGACAAGGUCUCAUGCAGUCCAGGCCAGUCUUGAAUUCACUGUGUAGCCAAGGUCGACCUUCAGUUUCUGAUCCCCCUGCCUCCUUCUUCUAAGUACCAAAGCUAAAGGUGUGCCCAGAUUGUCAUGCCAUGGCUUUGUGCGUGCUAGGUAAGCGUUCUAACUGAACCACAUCUAUAGCUCUGAAACUGUUUCCAUAAAAACAAAUGUUCUGUAUCAGCGUUAGCUAUGGUGGACAAGCUGCCCCAAGGCACCAUAGUUCAUUGGUAAUGCAUUGCAGAGGGGCUGGAGAAAUGGCUCAGCGGUAAAGAACACUGACUGCUCUUCGGAAGGUCCUGAGUUCAAAUCUCAGCAACCACAUAGUGGCUCAUAACCAUCUGUAAUGAGAUCUGACGCCCUCCUCUGGUGUGUCUGAAGACAGCUACAGUGUACUUACAUAUAAUAAUAAAUAAAUCUUUAAAAAAAGAACACAGUAAAAAACAAAACGACACACACACACACACACACAUACAAUGCAUUGCAGAGGGUCCACCCUUUUCAUUGGAUGGACAAGGCUCUGCUUCAUGGGGAUGAUGGUAGGGAUGGGAGCUGUCUGAAUGCCAAACAGUAAUAAAUCAAACAAAUGACAAACCACACACACACACAAACACACACACACACACACACACACACACUACCCCCCCAAAGAAAAACCAAAAUUAAAUGAAUUAAAAAACAGGACCGGUAAGAUAGGUCAGUUGGUAAAAGUGCUUGCUGCUGGAACCCCAUCGGAGAGGGCAAGAACCCAUUCCUAAAGGUUGUCCUCUGAAUUCUCUGUGCAGAACACUACAGAACACACCUUUGUCUGUGCCUCAGUCUCUUCUGAAGCACACAGAAUAACAUCACUUUAUUUGGCAGGGGUGGAGGUGGGCAGCAAGCUACUGUAAACCAGGUUUGGGAAAUCUCUUCUCAAAGGACAGGCCAUGUUGCGGUAAGAGAAGUAUGCUAGCUCAUAGAAGCUUGGGUGUGAAAGUUCUUUGUAUUUUCUAAGGUUUUUAGAGCAGAGCUGGAGAUAUGAGAUUUUAAUGUAGAACUGAAGCCCUAGGGCUAAGAGAAAGGAGAAUGCACUGGAAGAAAGGAAAGUGCAACCAAGAACCAAGGUGUGGGCUUCUCAAACAUUGCCUUCUUCCAGGGCAGAGAAGGCCCAGAUCAGGGCCAUGUAUCUGCAGAGGCCCAUAGGCAAGCCUGUGGUGUAUUUUCUCGGUUGAUGUGGAAGGGCCCAGCAUGUGGUAGUGGUUCUGAGUUCUAUGAGAAAGCAGGUUUCAAGAGAAGAUAAAAAACAAAACAAAACAAAACAAAAACGCACACAGGUAAACAUUCCCUGUCUAGGGAACUGAUAGAAAAUGUUGUCAGUUAUUUGUCUGUAUUUUUUUAGUUGAAAUUUUAUCUUAUUUAUGUGUAUGUAUCUCUGGGUGUCUGCCACUUGUAUUUGGAUGGUCACGUAGAUCAGAGAAGGCAUCAGAGCCCCUGAAGCUGGAGUUCUAGUCAAUUCUGAGCAGCCCAGUGUCAUUGCUGAAAACUGAACUUGGCCCCUCUAGAAGAGCAGCCUGUGCUCUUAACUGCUGGGCUACCUCUCCAGUCCCCAUUUGUGUAUAUUUUGAUAUUACUUAUUUAUUAAUUUAUUUUUGUUUGUUUGUCUUCAAGGCAGGGUUUCUCUAUGCAGCCCUGGCUAUCCUGGAACUCGCUCUGUAAAGCAGGCUGGCCUCUGACUCAAGAGCUGUACUUUCCUCUUCUUCCCAAGUGCUGGGACUAAAGGUGUGCACCCCACCCCCCACCCCGGCUGAUUUUAUUUAUUUAUUUUGUAAGUAUCUAUUGUUUUUAUUAUUGUAUGUGAAUGGGUGUUUUAUGUAUACAUGUUACAUGUAUCCACUACUUGCAUGCAGUGCCUGAGGAAGCCAGAAGAGGGCAUCAAAUCCCCUGCAACUGGAGUUAAGAGUUGAAUCUGGGUCCUCUGGAAGAACAGCAGAUGCUCUUAACUGCUGGAUUAUCUCUCCAGCCAUUGUCUCCCCACCCCACCCCGCCCCAGACAGGGUUUCUCUGUGUAGCUCUGGCUGUCCUGGAACUCACUCNNNNNNNNNNNNNNNNNNNNNNNNNNNNNNNNNNNNNNNNNN